AGCAGUAAGAGACUUGAAAGUGAACAUGCCAGGCCAACAAACGAAAUCUACGACCUGAGAGAAGUAAAUCGAUAAGAGCUAAGUCGGGAUCCCUCCAAUGCCAUUGCAUGCGCUGCCCUGUUACCAUUUCCUCCGAUGAAGACGAACGAACACAAGGUAAGAGUUCUUGCUGUGCUCUUGAUAUCCCUAAUGAUAAGGCCCAAAUCAGAUAGAUCAAUUGUGCUCUCAUUUAAUUUUUGUAUGGUCUUCUUGGAGUCGCCCUCUAAUGUUAUUCUUGUGAAUCCGAUGUCCUUUACAAACUGAACGCCUUGGAGAAUUGCUGUAGUUUCCGCCAUAAAAACAGAGGUGAUACGGGUGUUAUGAAUAAAUCCAGAUCCUAGAAUAAAACCUGCACUAUCUCUGAUUAUGAAUCCUGAGCAAGACUUCUUGGAGGUAUAUGAGAAACAAGCAUCAACGUUCAAUUUGAUUGUAGACUCAUGAGGAGAUUUCCAGCGGGUCAGUACAUGAGUGUGACGAUGAAGCAAAGAAGAGGAAACAUCUUGACCACCAUACAAUGGUUGCGAAUAAAGUUUACAGAAACUAUUGAUGCAAGAAAAGCGCCAGAAGAAGGUAGCAAUGACGAAAGGGAGAUGACUAUGCCCAAAGCCGAUAAAUCUUUUCUCAAGGAUUUUGACCCGAAUAGUCUCUAGUACCAUUAUCUAUCUCAGGAGGCAAUGAAGAAUGCUUUUCUCAAGGACUUUGACCCCAAACGUCCCCAGUAUCAUUAUCUAUCUCAGGAGGCCACGAAGAACGCUUUUCUCAAGGAUUUUAACCCCAACCGUCCCCAGUACCAUUAUCUAUCUAAGGAGGCCACGAAGAACGCUUUUCUCAAGGAUUUUGACCCCAAUCGUGCCCA